CCCUUGCCCUCUGCCCUAACCUCUUCCCCUCCAUCUCAGUCCCUUACCGCUCCCCCUUCAUCUCUGCCCUAACACCCGCCCCUCCCCCCCCUUUCUUAACCCUCCCAUAUGUCUGGUAAGAGUUGAUCUUUCCCUCCUAUCUGCGUAGCCAAAUCGGCCCUUCUGAGUUGAUCUUCCCCUCCUGUCUAAAUCUCGAGCCCUCUCUCCCUAUCUCACUUUCGUAGACCUCUCUCCCUAACUUGUUUAUUUUUUCUCUGUGGCUGAUCACUUUUCUAACAAUCUCUUUAUAUAUAUAUAUAUAUAUCUUGAAGUUAAACUCCACUUGGAGAAGUAUUUAUCGAGAAAAAUAGACCAACGAAGUGUUGUUUGAUUUCAUUGUCAUAAUCUCCAAUCUCUAAAUGGCCUCAUAAUACUCUCCAUUUCUCCUUCUCUCCACUUCACGAGGGUAGCUUUUUGCACCUUUAUCUGGCUUCUUCUGGAUUACGGACAUCACACUACAACCUAAUAGCAGAAGCUUUUUGCAGUUAAUCCAAUCAAUUUGAUCCAAACUAACGAGAAGAAAACGAAUUUUACUGACAUUGCUUCUAUUUUGUUAAGAAGCCAUUGGCUAUAUCAGAUUUUUUUCGGGGUCAAAUUGAGGCCUCAGCUCCCUUUACUUUGAUAACACAUCAAACAACCUGCUUAACCAGCAGUCUGUAAGUACCCAUGUUUCUUGAAGCAUAAUCUCUAGAUCUAUAAAUGAUGA